rnacentral:rRNA from 1 species
AGGGUGCAAGCGUUAUCGGAAUUACUGGGCGUAAAGCGUGCGCAGGCGGUUUUGUAAGUCUGUCGUGAAAGCCCCGGGCUCAACCUGGGAAUUGCGAUGGAGACUGCAAGGCUUGAAUCUGGCAGAGGGGGGUAGAAUUCCACGUGUAGCAGUGAAAUGCGUAGAGAUGUGGAGGAACACCGAUGGCGAAGGCAGCCCCCUGGGUCAAGAUUGACGCUCAUGCACGAAAGCGUGGGGAGCAAACAGGAUUAGAUACCCUGG